rnacentral:rRNA from 1 species
AUUGAACGCUGGCGGCAUGCCUUACACAUGCAAGUCGAACGGCAGCACGGGAGCAAUCCUGGUGGCGAGUGGCGAACGGGUGAGUAAUAUAUCGGAACGUGCCCAGUCGUGGGGGAUAACGUAGCGAAAGCUACGCUAAUACCGCAUACGAUCUAUGGAUGAAAGCGGGGGAUCGCAAGACCUCGCGCGAUUGGAGCGGCCGAUAUCAGAUUAGCUAGUUGGUGGGGUAAAAGCUCACCAAGGCGACGAUCUGUAGCUGGUCUGAGAGGACGACCAGCCACACUGGAACUGAGACACGGUCCAGACUCCUACGGGAGGCAGCAGUGGGGAAUUUUGGACAAUGGGCGCAAGCCUGAUCCAGCAAUGCCGCGUGCAGGAUGAAGGCCUUCGGGUUGUAAACUGCUUUUGUACGGAACGAAACGGUGAGCUCUAAUAAAGCUUGCUAAUGACGGUACCGUAAGAAUAAGCACCGGCUAACUACGUGCCAGCAGCCGCGGUAAUACGUAGGGUGCGAGCGUUAAUCGGAAUUACUGGGCGUAAAGCGUGCGCAGGCGGUUAUAUAAGACAGAUGUGAAAUCCCCGGGCUCAACCUGGGACCUGCAUUUGUGACUGUAUAGCUAGAGUACGGUAGAGGGGGAUGGAAUUCCGCGUGUAGCAGUGAAAUGCGUAGAUAUGCGGAGGAACACCGAUGGCGAAAGCAAUCCCCUGGACCUGUACUGACGCUCAUGCACGAAAGCGUGGGGAGCAAACAGGAUUAGAUACCCUGGUAGUCCACGCCCUAAACGAUGUCAACUGGGUUGUUGGGUCUUCACUGACUCAGUAACGAAGCUAACGCGUGAGUUGACGCCUGGGGAGUACGGCCGCAGGUUGAAACUCAAAGGAUGACGGG